AAAUUGAAACAACGCAACCGUACUAUCUAUUUACGAUAAUUUGAUUGCUGACAACACGACAACAUCACGCUUCUCUUUCUUAUUCUUAUUUAUAUAACUGUCACUUUAUCGGGCCGGAAAAGUGACACCAUCACGUCUCAGGGUCGUAUGCCUGGAACAAGAAGGGUCGUCGUACAAUUUAGGCAAUUACAAAAAAGAAGGAGGCGAGCUCCCUAUCCCUCUUUGUCUUUCCACUUUCCUGUUUAGGAACAAACACUUCGCCAAAUUCUUUUGAGUCCCGGCCUGGUUUUUCCCCACUAA
rnacentral:rRNA from 1 species